UCGAACGUAAGAUGACUGUAGGUGAAAGCUUACAUCUCUUCGGAGCAUUUACGAGGUGCUGCAUGGUUGUCGUCAGCUCGUGCCGUGAGGUGUCGGGUUAAGUCCCAUAACGAGCGCAACCCCUACCUUUAGUUGCCAUCAGGUUAAGCUGGGGACUCUAAAGGAACUGCCUACGCAAGUAGUGAGGAAGGCGGGGAUGACGUCAAAUCAGCACGGCCCUUACGUCCAGGGCUACACACGUGCUACAAUGGCCGAUACAGAGGGCAGCUACCUGGUGACAGGAUGCAAAUCUCCAAAGUCGGUCUCAGUUCGGAUCGGAGUCUGCAACCCGACUCCGUGAAGUUGGAUUCGCUAGUAAUCGCGCAUCAGCCAUGGCGCGGUGAAUACGUUCCCGGGCCUU
rnacentral:rRNA from 1 species